CCCCGCUUCCAGGAAAAGCCUCUAAGCUUCAGGUUACCAACAAUCGUACCCCAAACCGACACAGGUGGUCAGGUAGAGAAUACUCAGGCGCUUGAGAGAACUCGGGUGAAGGAACUAGGCAAAAUGGUGCCGUAACUUCGGGAGAAGGCACGCUGGCGGUAGGUAAAGUCCCUUGCGGACGGCGCUGAAGCCAGUCGAAGAUACCAGCUGGCUGCAACUGUUUAUUAAAAACACAGCACUGUGCAAACACGAAAGUGGACGUAUACGGUGUGACGCCUGCCCGGUGC
rnacentral:rRNA from 1 species